rnacentral:rRNA from 1 species
UACGUAGGGACCAAGCGUUGUUCGGAUUUACUGGGCGUAAAGGGCGCGUAGGCGGCUUGACAAGUCACUUGUGAAAUCUCCGGGCUUAACUCGGAACGGCCAAGUGAAACUGUCAUGCUAGAGUGCAGAAGGGGCAAUCGGAAUUCUUGGUGUAGCGGUGAAAUGCGCAGAUAUCAGGAGGAACACCGGUGGCGAAGGCGGAUCUCUGGGCCGAUACUGACGCUGAGGAGCGAAAGCGUGGGGAGCGAACAGG